AAAAAUUACCAUUUUUUAUUACCCGCUCGUUAGUCCCUAAAUCCCCCAAAUAACUCUCAAAAUUUGCCCCCAAAUUUCCCAUUUCCAGCAACAUCAAGUCAAUACACCUACACUAAUUGCCGGAAGUCCGUAGCUUGGAGCUUGGCCUGACUGCUUCCUCCACUAAUUGCCGGAAGAAGCCGGCCGUAAAAGAAAGAUCUUCUACUUCAACCUGGCUUCGGUUGACCCCCUUUCGGUGGUAGUAAGAGCAGAGUCUUGGGUUGGUGCUUGAAGUAAGGGUCAUCAAAGAGACGGAUCAGUUUACCAGUGAUUUCUAUGGCGAUGAAACCCUAGAUGACGAGAAACCGGAGGAAGAGGAGGUGAUAGAUAAAGAAAAUGAAGAGGGAAGUGAAAAGUUGAAUCGUUCAAGUGUCGUAUCUGCAAAUACACCCUCCAAAAUUUGUCAUACUUUUCCCGGAAAUGGAAGAUGUCAAAGGUUAAGUUUCAAGCCCAAAGCUGCUGGUUCAGUUGAAGGAAAUGUACUUGACAAAGAAUCGGCUAGAAUCAGUGACAAGAUAGAUUAUGGAGUUGUUGGUAUUCACCAUGUUGGAAUUCUAUGUGAAAACCUUGAAAGAUCUUUUCAGAGAUGCUGUGAGUUUAAAUUUAAACGUAGAAGAAUGUAGAAGAAGGAGUUAUCUUAUGACUGGAUUUUUUUUUCAAUUAAAAUCAGCAAACACAUCAGAAGAAUCAGGUAAAGGACACUAUUGAUGUGGAUGAACCUGAAGAAAGGAGAGACCCGUUAACUGCUGAAGAGUUGGAAGAAAAGGAGCGACUAUUAGAAGAGCACUGGAUAUGCAGCUACCAAAUUUUAUUCACCAAAGUCUGCAAAUGAACCUUUUGGUACAACAAAUGCGGACGGCUAUUGGCAAUGGACAGGCAAUCAGCUUUAAUCUUACCUCCUGUACAUCGUCCUUAUCGAACUCUUUCUGUUUCAAAACAAUCAUCGACUCAAUCUAUUUCCUCAACAUUAGAUCAAGGUUCUAAUGCCCCUGAAGCUUAUCAUAUCGGUUGCAUCUCGGAUAACACAAAAGGCAAAGAUUGAAGCUCAAAUCUUAGCUGCUGAAGCAGUAGCAAAAAUGAAGGCAGAGGUUGAGCUGAAAAAGCAACGGGAAAGAGAAGAGAAGCUGCUGGAAUUACAUUACAAAAGGUUUUUAUCUUUUUCUUGCGUUUUCUUUUUUGUCCUUAUUAUGUUUAUAUAGUGGAGGGUUUUAGAGGCUAGAACACUGUAAUACCAUAUAGUAUAUACAAAAUAUGAAAUAGACCAUGCCAUUAUUUAUUGAACAGGUAAAAAACCAAUUAUUUUUUUUCCCUUUUUCUUAAAUUAAAGACCAUGCCAUUAAGGUAAAUGCCAUUAAUUAUAUUUGUUGGUUGAGAUAGGCUUUGCCUCAAUAAAAAGUUAUUGUUUUUAUUCCGAUUAACUUUUUAUUUUACGUCGUUGCUUUUCAUUCUACAAGUCAUAGGACAUUAAUAUUGCCUUAGCCACUGAUUUUCCUCACCCAAUUUAAUCUUUUAAGUUAGCUCCAUCAAUCUUCCUUUUUUUUUUUUUUUUUGGUUCUAAAAGAAUUGGGCUUUUACUUCCAAAGAGGGAGAACUAGAAAUUGAAAAAGUUUUCACUCACUCCAACUGAAGUCUGAAUUCUUUUCUGGAAGGUUGGAUUUGAAUCAUUACUAAUUUUAUUAUCACCAUAUUAAAAGAAAAUUUUACAAUUUCCCUGGGGAUUAAACUAUAAACUUUCUAAUUUUGAAGAGACUAGAAGUGAAUUUUAAAUUCUAGAGGAAGUCAAAUGCAAAUUAACUUAAUAUUUUAUAAAAUUAAAAAAAGACAAAAAGAAAUGAUCAUUUAUUGGGUAACGUUGGCAAAGGAGAAUAGUAGUAGGGAAAACCAAUAUAAAAUUUCUACAGAAUGAAACCAUAUGCAGAAGAACAGUCUUUAUAUAUCUGAUAGAUUGUAGUGAAUCUUGGAGCUGCUGUUAUCACAUAAUUCUCCCAUUGUUUCAUGUAAGAAUAUUAUGCAGGCCCAGAUGCUAUAUUCAACACUUUUUAAUCAAUCAUUUUCUUUUUCGAAAUAAAAUGCAGAUGAAUAAGAUGAUUAAAGCUGUCAAAAGAAGAAGUUAGCAUCACAAUAUCAAAAGGAAGCGAGACAAAUGCAAUUCGGGUAUGGAGACGUGCGAAGAAGUAAGGAGAAAGUGAAGAAACACUGUCGGCUUAAAUGAAAUUAACACAAUGUGGGAAAUAAGAGCUCGUCGAGAAGGGUGGAGAGAAAAGGUCGCCAAAUCUAAUGCAUUUCCUUAUUUCAUUUAAGUAACUUCAUUAUAAUAUCUUAUUUUAUUGAUAUUUUAUAUUUAAUCUAGUUUUUAUUAUUUAUUUUAGUUUUGAUUCUAAAUUUUUAUUUUUAUUUUAAUAUUUUAGAUAAUUUGAGUUCUAACUUUUGGAUUUUAA